CAGCAGCCGCGGGAAUACAGAGGGUGCGAGCGUUAAUCGGAUUUACUGGGCGUAAAGCGUGCGUAGGCGGCUUUUUAAGUCGGAUGUGAAAUCCCUGAGCUUAACUUAGGAAUUGCAUUCGAUACUGGGAAGCUAGAGUAUGGGAGAGGAUGGUAGAAUUCCAGGUGUAGCGGUGAAAUGCGUAGAGAUCUGGAGGAAUACCGAUGGCGAAGGCAGCCAUCUGGCCUAAUACUGACGCUGAGGUACGAAAGCAUGGGGAGCAAACAGGAUUAGAGACCCCUGUAGUCCCUGUCUCUUAUAA
rnacentral:rRNA from 1 species